rnacentral:lncRNA from 1 species
AAAUUUUUAUCUUUAACUGCGACUUAUUCAGUGGUUUCUUGAAAGGAUUGUGUGUGAGUGUGUAUUUUUGGACAUUUUUCUUCCAUCGAUGAAGUAAUUCAUGUGUGGUCGCUUAUUUGAAUAAACUAUUGAAGACCUGUGACUAACAUCGCACAUUUAAGCGUCUUCGGCUGCUGCGUUACGUGCAGGGUUCCAAGAAGAACCAAUUUACUCGUUGAUGCUUGCCGCCUAUGGAUUGGUCACUCACUUUCAACUGCCUGAGGUUGGAUAACUACCUACCUUACAUACCCGCAUCCAGGCAAAGAAAUUAAUACAUUAGACGACCUCAUAGAGAGUAAAUUGCCAGUUUAUGCAUACAGCACGUGGAAGGAGCUGCUCACUCGCAGACUUGAUGGUCAAUAUCGCUACUAUAAAAAGGAAUGGGUGUGGCUGAAACCCGUUGAUAAUGGACCAAAAGGGGCUUAUGUUGUAUCGUACGACUACGAACAGAGAUUGCUUAAAAUUCCCCAGCUGGAUGAACCGUCGCCCAAUCUUCGGCAGGUUCAGGAACGGCUUGGAACUGGUUACCUGAUAUUCUAUAUAGGAAACAAGUCGCCGUAUAAAACACUUUUGAAGACCAUUACUCUGAGAGCUCUGGCAUACGGUUUCAACUCGAAGCAAUGGGGUGGAUUUCAAAGGAUGUCAACGGAUACUCUGCGAGAUGUUAGCGAGCUGGAAAUGAGCCACUUGGAGGUCAUUUUUCUAUAUUUUUUGUUCGGAAUUGUGCUGAGCGUGUUGGUUUUUGUCGCAGAGCUUUUUUGGUUUUAUCGCAAUCGUUUUUAACCAUCGUUUGAAAAAAAAGGGGAUUUUUCCAAAAGGGUUUUUGUAAA